rnacentral:tRNA from 1 species
GGCGUAGUUCAGUCUGGUUAGAAUGUCAGAUUGUGGCUCUGAAGGUCGUGGGUUCGAAUCCCGUCGC